AUGCUUAGUUCGGCAGUACAUAUACUAAAAUUGGAACAAUACAGAGAUUGGCAUGGCCCCUACAUAAGGAUGACAAGCAAAUUCAUGAAGCAUUCCAUAUUUUU
ensembl:snRNA U6 U6 spliceosomal RNA